UUAUUCUUAGUUCAGAUUCUCCUCUUGUGGCAGUUGAAAUGUUAGCAAAUUUCAUGAUGCUAAUUAGAGCCUAUACUUUGUUGUUUUUACACCGACUUGCAGUAGGGAGAGAGAAGAGCUAGAACUCAGGUGGGCAGUCUAUAUGUGACUUCUACCUUUUUCUAUAGAGGUCGGUCAGUAUUCUGUUUUAUCCUUUUUAAGCUUGCAUGCAAACUGAUGACCUGUGACUAGUAGGGAAACUGCAUGUAGCUAUAUAAAUUCUGAUGCGGAUAAUAAUCAUUUGAACUUGCACUAUACAAAUUCAAAAGGAAGUUGCAUUCUGUGCAAAGUCGUGUUCUUGUUGCCCAUUCGUUUCCUGUUCCAGAACUCAUGUUUUGUGUCUUGCAUGUAAUAAUGAAAUUAUACUAUACCACAAGUGUAUGCAAACUACCGAGGCCAGCGUUGGCACACUUUUGUUUUUUGCUGGUUCAUCACUUGUAUGCAUUUACUUAAGGUCAUGUUCUUUUUCCCUUUGCAAAAACAAUAUAUUGCUGCUACUUAUGCUCUAGUCAUGUUUGUCUUUUUAUCAUGUGCUAUCAUCUUUAACUUCUUGUGUGUACUAUGUUGUUGUGUUCAGGUGGAGGGUGGCCUUUUGGAGGUGUACAUGAUGUUGGAUAAUGACACCAGGAAGCCAACAUGACAUUUUGCUUUUGAUGAGAUAGAGAUGAGGCAUUCUGUAAUGAAUCUAGUUACAUUGUGCAAGCAAACAUAUGACUUGUGCUUGCCAUUUGACCUAGCUAGGUUGUAUGUGUGCGUGUCCUUUUGUAAUGAUGACAUCAUGGAUCAAGAUGAUCUAGAAUUUGAUCUAUUGCUAAAUGUUGGCUUCAAUGAAUACUUGAGAGAUACCUUUAUCUAAUAUGAUGUGGUUAGUGUUGUGGGCAGCUACGGUUUACAUAUGUAUGUAUGGUUGAUGAAUAAUGUGACAUGUUAUGUAUGUUUAUUAGGUUUGAAAUCUGGUUAAUAUGAAAUUAUUAUUAUACA
rnacentral:lncRNA from 1 species